AAGCACACAAAACAUUGUAUACCUCCUGUAAUUAAUUGGUUUUCUAAACGAACUUAAAUGUCACAAAUUAUAGAAAAUACUGUAGCUUUCCCUGUAUAAAGAAAUCAAGAUUCUACCAAAUAUAAAAAUUGACAAUUUAUAGGAACAAAUAUGCAACAGAGAAUCACGUGUAAAACAUGAGUUGCAUCAUUAUAAUUAGCUCUAGUCACCUAAAGACACUCACCAACUCAGUCCUCCAUGAAACUUUGACAAACAAAAGUAUUAGUAUAUCAAGUUAAAAAAGCGUUAAAUGUAGCAGUCUGCUCCAUAAAUUGAAACAGAGUUACAAGACUUCGAAAAGAUUGAAGGCAAACUUUACAUGAUGAUGACUGUAACAGGAAUAACAACAUAAAACAUUUCAUCCAACCCUAGCGAAAGAGAAAAACAAGCACAUACCAGAUG
rnacentral:lncRNA from 1 species